CCUGAACGCUGGCGGCGUGGCUAAGACAUGCAAGUCGCACGGGGCCGUAGCAAUACGGUCCAGUGGCGAACGGGUGAGUAAUGAAUCGCUAACGUGCCCCGGACUCUGGGAUAGCUAACCGAAAGGUUAGGUAAUACCAGAUGACAUAUCCCUCCUGCAUGGGAGGGAUCUCAAAGGUCCGCCGGUCUGGGAGCGGGCGAUUUCAUAUCAGCUAGUUGGUGAGGAACGGCUCACCAAGGCGACGACGCGUAGCCGGACUGAGAGGUUGGCCGGCCACAUUGGGACUGAGACACUGCCCAGACUCCUACGGGGGGCUGCAGUAACGAAUCUUCCGCAAUGCACGCAAGUGUGACGGAGCGACGCCGCGU
rnacentral:rRNA from 1 species